UGCGCAGGCGGUGCAAAAAAGUCUGACGUGAAAGCUCCUGGCUUAACUGGGAGAGGUCGUUGGAAACUGAUGUACUUGAGGCAAUGAGAGGGAUGCGGAAUUCCCGGUGUAGUGGUGGAAUGCGUAGAUAUCGGGAGGAACACCAGUGGCGAAAGCGGCAUCCUGGCAUUGACCUGACGCUGAAGUACGAAAGCGUGGGGAGCGAACG
rnacentral:rRNA from 1 species